rnacentral:tRNA from 1 species
GGAGGCGGACGGAGGCUGGUGUCUCCCCCGGACUUCAAAUCCGGCGGCCCCAUCAAGGAUGGGGUGGUAGGUUCGAUUCCUAUCCGCCUCCGCCA